UUUUCUAAAUAUACAAUCAUGUCAUCUGCAAAGAGGGACAAUUUGACUUCUUCUUUUCCUAACUGAAUACCCUUGAUUUCUUUCUCUUGCCUGAUUACCCUAUAGUAUUCUAUCUCAGCAUGCAAUCUGCUGAUUCCUUCCCCUUUCUAAAAUGAGUUUGUAUUUUAAUUUUUAAAAUUAGUAUUAACCAGGUAAUAAAUAUUAACUGUGUACCGACUCUAAACUUGACUCUGAGAAAUGUUAUAAUGAGAUAUUUAAUGAAAAAAACUUGAGAAGCUAAAAAAUAAUUUGCCAAAGCAUAUGAUUUAUUUGCUAGUGCUUUGUUCAUUCAUCCAUUCACGCAUUAACCUGACUUUCAUCUUCUUAUCCCUUAUCUGCUCAUCCAUCUACCCAUGCACCCAUGCACUCAUCCAAGAAUCCAUUAAUUAAUUUAUUCACUCAUCCAUUUAUUCAUACACUCAUCUAUGAAUCCACCCAUCAAUUCAUUCUUCCAUCCACCCACUUACUGAACUAUCCAUGUACCCAUCCACCCAUCUAUUCAUCCACUCAUCCAUUCUUGCACCCAUUUACCCAUCCACUCAUUCACCCAUCCAUAAGUCCACCCAUCCAUUCAACCAGCCAUCCAUGCUUCCACUCAUUCACUUGUCCAUUCAUCCAUCCAUCUAUCGUUCACCAGACAGACGCUGAAGGCCUUUGAUGGUUUUGCACUUACCUUGGCAUUUUAAAUAUAAAGUUGGCAAAGUAGUUCCUGUCCUCUUAAAGCUCAAAAUCCAAGCAAAGAGAGAGAUCACAUAAAAAAUUAUUUGUAGAUAUUUUGAACUUCCUUAUAGAAAAGCAAUCUUCAACCUCACAGUGGCCUAAUCUCAGUAAAUGUGUAUUGGCAUUCUUUAAUAAUUGUCAUUUUAAAAAGUACUAAUUUCUCCUUUGGCAGUUGAAUAUUGUUUUCCUGCAUUCUUCUGACUUCUUACUUACAGUUAUAACAUUUUUAUAAUGAUUUAUAAUGGUAUGCUUUUAAAAUGGAAAUGAGAAAUAUAGAGACAGGUGUUACAUGGAGGGGACUACUAAAAUGAAGGAAUUAAUUUGGGGGACAGAUGAGAAUUUACUGAUUUUAAAAGUACUUGCCAUCUUUUUUUUUUUUUCAGUAGCAGGAAACUAAUGAUUUUUUUUAUUCUUGGGAGGGAGAGGACAGGGGUGGUUUCUUAAUUAUGAAGUGCAAUUGUUUAGAUUUUUAGGUAGUGUUAUUCCUGUUAUGAGCUGCCCCAGGCAGCCACAUCAAAGGCAGCUCUGUGUGUGUGUGUGUAUGUGUGUGUGCACGCACACACACACACGCCAGCCUGGAUUGUGGAGACAGACCUGGUCUCUCAGACCUGGAUUUAAUUUCAUUGCUUGAAGGAGAAAUAAGUUGGUGUGUUCUUUCUGGCAGAGAGUCAUUUUUUUCCUGCCUUGUUUUCUAGCUAUCAAGUCUGUAUUUGCAUUUUAAUUAAGAAAGAAGACAACUGUUGGAAAUGAAAUUUGGAUGAAAGCUGUGAAUAUUUACCAUUUGAACGAGUUGUGUUAACACCAAAGUGCUGGCACGGUAGGCAGGACGACACAUGGAUCAGCACAGAACAAAGACAGUAACGCCUUAUUUUAUGCCUUACUACUAACUUGGCUUAUCAGUUGGCAUGACCUCUGAAGAUCUUUUGCUCUGAAUGUUUUAAUCAUCAAGUUCUGGUGUUUAUCCAAGGUGAGCCUAAUCUACUUUGGGGUGGAGGGAGGAAGUGGUGUCAGGAGAGGUCAAACCAGACCACCUUGAGCUGGAAGCCCCGAAGGAGAAGGAUUCCUUGAAAUGGAGGUGAUUUUUGAAUUAUAAUAAGUGAGAAGACUGCAAGGGAGACAGAAGCUGAGAGACAAAUGCUCUGUGCUCUUCUCACUUUCAUAAACAGGAGAACUUCCACUGACCUAGCAGUAGUUUUCUCCUCCAGGCUGUCAUGUCUUCUGAUCGUGUCUUUUAUGAGGUGAAUUUCUCCUCAUGAAAGACCAGACUUUGAGGAGAGAUCCUGUGCAGGUCCCUACAGUGUGGAGAUGGAUUGAUUGGGCCUACAGAUUGCAGCUAAUCAAUUCAUCCUUUGCUUCCCAAAGGUUUAUACAUUUGGGUGGAGUUCACAAUGAGUGGUCUUGGUGCAGGGCCGUGUGGAGAAGCAUGUCUACCACUCUUGCCCCGGUGGCUUCUUUAGAUAAUCUUGCAAUCUUCACAGGUUCUUUUCUAGGUACGUUAUUGUUUGGAAUAACUCCCUUGAGUUUGGAAGAAUAAAAUGAAUAGUACUAGGUUUACUCAAUAGUUUGUUAGUUUGCUUGUUAUCUUAAACAGUUCUGUAAAAUUCUUUUGAAAAGUUUCUCUGCUCAUUGAUCUUGAAAAUCUCCUUGCUUUAGAGAAUGGAUGUGCUCCUCAUACGCUAAGAAUAAACUGGAUUUUGGUAAAUCAGUUUAUCUUAGGGGUCCUAAGUGAGUUUGCCAUUUUAAUGAUGCUUGGAGUGUAUCCUUGUAUAACAGAAAGUAUCUUGUACAUUCUAUAUCUUUUAGGAACUCACAUAUGUUGACUUUAUCAAGUGUUGGGGUGGUGGUGAAGCUAAAAACCAAUAGGUGACAUAUGGCAGGGUCUUCCCUCCAAGUGACCCUCUGGAAAGAGCUGUACUUAUUUCAUUUUGGUGGCGCUCAUAAUAGGGUCAGGAAACCAGGGAGAAAGCUGAACAACUGGCACUUAUAGAUCUUUCUCUUUAAAUCAGGUUUGCUUUUGAUUUGUCUGGUCUUUAUUGUUCUCCAUGUCUGAAGCUGAGUUCCUUGGAUUCCCUUCUCUUCAAAGCCCUCUUGGCAACCUUCCGAGGAAUGGCAGAGUUCAUUCUGAUCCACAUCCGGUGAGUGUAGCUCAACCAUGAUGGAGCUUGACCUGUCAAAUUCACAGAAAAAUGUCCGUUACAUAUUCCAGCUGUUCCUUAAACAUGCUCCCUAAGAGCUAGUUCCAUUUGUUAGCUGUCAGAAUGAUGUGGAGGAAUUGCUCCAGACCCUCGGAUGUCAUCAACCACUUUUGUUUAUACACCAGUUAUUUUCUCUAUUAGCAAAUCAAUGUUUGGCAAAAAGAAAGAACAGGCUAAGAACUUUUCGUGAUGAGUUGCUGCCCUCAGCCUUGGAACUCUUCUCAGCCAAAAAAAAAAAAAAAAAAAAA